rnacentral:rRNA from 1 species
AGCGAACGCUGGCGGCAGGCCUAACACAUGCAAGUCGAACGAACUCUUCGGAGUUAGUGGCGGACGGGUGAGUAACACGUGGGAACGUGCCUUUUUGCUCGGAAUAACUCAGGGAAACUUGUGCUAAUACCGAAUGUGCCCUUCGGGGGAAUGAUUUAUCGCGAUUAGAGCGGCCACAGUCUCAUUAGCUAGUUGGUUAGGUAACGGCUCACCAAGGCGACGAUCAGUAGCUGGGUUGUGAGGAUGACCAGCAACACCGGGACUGAGACACGGCCCAGACUCCUACGGGAGGCAGCAGUGGGGAAUCUUGCGCAAUGGGCGGAAGGCUGACGCAGCCAUGCCGCGUGAAUGAUGAAGGUCUUAGGAUUGUAAAAUUCUUUCACCGGGGACGAUAAUGACGGUACCCAGAGAAGAAGCCCCGGCUAACUUCGUG